UGAGUAUAAUGUGGGUAUCUGCCUUUUGGUUUGGAAUAACACGGGGAAACUUGUGCUAAUACCGGAUAAGCCUUUACAGGGAAAGUUUUAACGCCAAAAGAUGAGCCCGCACUUGAUUAGCUAGUUGGUAAGGUAAUGGCUUACCAAGGCUACGAUCAAUAGCUGAUCUGAGAGGAUGAUCAGCCACAUUGGGACUGAGACACGGCCCAAACUCCUACGGGAGGCAGCAGUGGGGAAUCUUGCACAAUGGGGGAAACCCUGAUGCAGCGAUGCCGCGUGAGUGAAGAAGGCCUUUGGGUUGUAAAGCUCUUUCGUCGGGGAAGAAAAUGACUGUACCCGAAUAAGAAGGUCCGGCUAACUUCGUGCCAGCAGCCGCGGUAAUACGAAGGGACCUAGCGUAGUUCGGAAUUACUGGGCUUAAAGAGCUCGUAGGUGGUUAGAAAAGUUGGUGGUGAAAUCCCAAGGCUUAACUUUGGAACUGCCGCCAAAACUUUUUGACUAGAGUAUGAUAGAGGAAAGUGGAAUUUCUAGUGUAGAGGUGAAAUUCGUAGAUAUUAGAAAGAACACCGAUUGCGAAGGCAACUUUCUGGAUCAUUACUGACACUGAGGAGCGAAAGCAUGGGUAGCGAAGAGGAUUAGAUACCCUCGUAGUCCAUGCCGUAAACGAUGUGUGCUAGACGUUGGAAAUUUAGUUUUCAGUGUCGCAGCGAAAGCGUUAAGCACACCGCCUGGGGAGUACGACCGCAAGGUUAAAACUCAAAUGAAUUGACGGGGACCCGCACAAGUAGUGGAGCAUGUGGUUUAAUUCGAAGAUACGCGCAGAACCUUACCAACACUUGACAUGUUCGUCGCGAACCUAAGAGAUUAGGUUUUUCAUUCAGUUGGACGAAACACAGGUGCUGCAUGGCUGUCGUCAGCUCGUGUCGUGAGAUGUUGGGUUAAGUCCCGCAACGAGC
rnacentral:rRNA from 1 species